GACGAACGCUGGCGGCGUGCCUAAUACAUGCAAGUAGAACGCUGAAGGAGGAGCUUGCUUCUCUGGAUGAGUUGCGAACGGGUGAGUAACGCGUAGGUAACCUGCCUGGUAGCGGGGGAUAACUAUUGGAAACGAUAGCUAAUACCGCAUAAGAGUAGAUGUUGCAUGACAUUUGCUUAAAAGGUGCAAUUGCGUCACUACCAGAUGGACCUGCGUUGUAUUAGCUAGUUGGUGGGGUAACGGCUCACCAAGGCGACGAUACAUAGCCGACCUGAGAGGGGGAUCGGCCACACUGGGACUGAGACACGGCCCAGACUCCUACGGGAGGCAGCAGUAGGGAAUCUUCGGCAAUGGACGGAAGUCUGACCGAGCAACGCCGCGUGAGUGAAGAAGGUUUUCGGAUCGUAAAGCUCUGUUGUAAGAGAAGAACGAGUGUGAGAGUGGAAAGUUCACACUGUGACGGUAUCUUACCAGAAAGGGACGGCUAACUACGUG
rnacentral:rRNA from 1 species